UUUCAUGAAUUCCCCCAAAUUGAAGAAGAACAAUCCCUAGAUCCUUCUCCCUCCUUUCUCUCGGCUACAUCGCCGCUCCAUCUGGGUCACCGGAGCAUCGCCGGCUCUAGUUCCUCGGCGUCACAGGGUCGCCGGCACCCUCCGUCUCCGUCCAUCUCUGUCUCUCUCUCUCGUCUGCUACACAGUGGUGCAACACCGUUGUGACCUCGCCGGCAGCCUCCUGACCGCCAGCAACCGUCCAGCUCCCGUCGCCACCUCAAGAUCGGGAACCCAAAUUCUAUUUCGGAACUCCCUUCUCACCCCGAAGUUAAGUUCUUUACCCUCCAUUACUUAGUGUAGUUUACUUGAGUUUUUGGGGCAGCAACUAUGUGGAAUCAGAGUUCUUGAAAAUUUUUGUGUUCACUUACUGGAAUAGGUUCAUCAUCUUUAGUUCCUCCUUGGGCAGUAGCUUUGUAUUUGAUCACAGUGGUGAGGUUUCAUAUAGUUUUACUACUGUUUUUGGUCUAUGAGACAGACUAUGGUUUUCCUUGCACUAAUUUGUUAUGAUGUGAAAAUCCUGAAGCUCUAAGUUCUUGAGCCUAAACAUGAGGUUCCAAUAAGAUGCAGAGGUAUUGAUCUGAUUUAGGACUUAACAUGCUAUUUGCAAAUUUCUAAUUUUUGGUGCUUCUACAUGAUGAUAUGAAAUAUUAUUUGGAAGACGGAUGGAAGUGUAUUACCUCUUGAAAGUAGCUACUGUUUUCUUUUGUUCCUCUGCUCUUAGCACUCAAACUCUCUCACUCUCAAAACUUGCUAUUCUAACUCACAAUUUCUGAUUGAAGUGUUUGGGGUGAAGAAGUGAGACUAAGUGGAGACACACAUAUUUAUGGGGCGAAAAGUUGGGUCAAGGAUUUGUUAGCUGCAAAGUCUGGAACUCCUUGCUUCUCUACCAAGAUCUGUAUUGGCCUCUUGUGUGUGGGAGAGCAGGUGGUUGCUCGAUUCAGGCCGAUUUGGUGCAGCUGGAGGGAGGCAUUUUGGGUCAGCUGCUUGACAAGGAGUUGGUCAAAGGGUGAGUUGCCACUCCUAGAAAGGCAAGUCCCCAAUUUGGUAGCAUUGAAAGCUCUCGAUUGGUGCAAUGGAAGUGUAGGAGUGUACCUGCCAUUUUGGGGUCAUUUUGACCUCCUUUAAUAAAUUUGAUGGCAGAUAAGGGAAAGGGUUUUGAAAUUUGGGGAUGUGGUCUUGGAUGGAGACAAGGCAGUCGGGCUGGCUGCAUGGGCCAUUGGGCUGCCCUUCAAGUCAUUGGGCUGAAAGAAUCUUGAGUUCGAGAAGAGAGGCCCAACAUUUUGUAUAUUUGUAUUCUUAAAUUCUUUCUCAUCAACUCGUGUGUAAUUUAUUUUGUAACUAGAGAGGCUCGAUAUGUAUUCGAACUUUCUAGAUCAGCAAAGUAACAUCAUAUUCUUUCUUGA